UACGUAGGUGGCAAGCGUUGUUCGGAAUUACUGGGCGUAAAGGGCGCGUAGGCGGCCAGCACAAGUCGGUUGUGAAAUCUCCGGGCUUAACUCGGAAAGGUCAACCGAUACUGUGCGGCUAGAGUGCGGAAGGGGCAACUGGAAUUCUCGGUGUAGCGGUGAAAUGCGUAGAUAUCGAGAGGAACACCCGUGGCGAAAGCGGCGCGCUGGACCACUACUGACGCUGAGGAACGAAAGCUAGGGGAGCAAACAGG
rnacentral:rRNA from 1 species